rnacentral:rRNA from 1 species
UCCGUUUGAUCCUGCCAGAGGUUACUGCUAUCGGUGUUCGCCUAAGCCAUGCGAGUCAUAUGUAGCAAUACAUGGCGUACUGCCCAGUAACACGUGGAUAACCUGCCCUUGGGUCCGGCAUAACCCCGGGAAACUGGGGAUAAUUCCGGAUAACGCACAUAUGCUGGAAUGCUUUAUGCGUAAAAUGGAUUCGUCCGCCCAAGGAUGGGUCUGCGGCCUAUCAGGUAGUAGUGGGUGUAAUGUACCUACUAGCCGACAACGGGUACGGGUUGUGAGAGCAAGAGCCCGGAGAUGGAUUCUGAGACAUGAAUCCAGGCCCUACGGGGCGCAGCAGGCGCGAAAACUUUACAAUGCGGGAAACCGUGAUAAGGGGACACCGAGUGCUAGCAUCAUAUGCUGGCUGUCCAGGUGUGUAAAAUACACCUGUUAGCAAGGGCCGGGCAAGACCGGUGCCAGCCGCCGCGGUAACACCGGCGGCCCGAGUGGUGAUCGUGAUUAUUGGGUCUAAAGGGUCCGUAGCCGGUUUGGUCAGUCCUCCGGGAAAUCUGAUAGCUCAACUAUUAGGCUUUCGGGGGAUACUGCCAGACUUGGAACCGGGAGAGGUAAGAGGUACUACAGGGGUAGGAGUGAAAUCUUGUAAUCCCUGUGGGACCACCUGUGGCGAAGGCGUCUUACCAGAACGGGUUCGACGGUGAGGGACGAAAGCUGGGGGCACGAACCGGAUUAGAUACCCGGGUAGUCCCAGCCGUAAACGAUGCUCGCUAGGUGUCAGGCAUGGCGCGACCGUGUCUGGUGCCGCAGGGAAGCCGUGAAGCGAGCCACCUGGGAAGCACGGCCGCAAGGCUGAAACUUAAAGGAAUUGGCGGGGGAGCACAACAACGGGUGGAGCCUGCGGUUUAAUUGGACUCAACGCCGGACAACUCACCGGGGACGACAGCAAAAUGUAGGCCAGGCUGAAGACCUUGCCUGAAUCGCUGAGAGGAGGUGCAUGGCCGUCGCCAGUUCGUACUGUGAAGCAUCCUGUUAAGUCAGGCAACGAGCGAGACC